rnacentral:rRNA from 1 species
ACGAAGGGGCCAAGCGUUGUUCGGAAUUAUUGGGCUUAAAGCGCAUGCAGGCGGGAAGUUAAGUGUUUUGUGAAAUCCCUCGGCUUAAACGAGGACUAGCGGGGCAAACUGGCUUUCUUGAGGGAAGUAGGGGUGUAUGGAACUCUAGGUGGAGGGGUGAAAUGCGUAGAUAUCGGGAGGAACGCCAGCGGAGAAAUCGGUGCACUGGACUUGUUCUGACGCUGAGGUGCGAAAGCGUGGGUAGCGAACUG